rnacentral:rRNA from 1 species
UACAGAGGUCUCAAGCGUUGUUCGGAUUCAUUGGGCGUAAAGGGUGCGUAGGCGGCGCGGUAAGUCGGGUGUGAAACCUCGGAGCUUAACUCCGAAACUGCAUUCGAUACUGCCGUGCUUGAGGACUGGAGAGGAGACUGGAAUUUACGGUGUAGCGGUGAAAUGCGUAGAUAUCGUAAGGAAGACCGGUGGCGAAAGCGGCUCACUGGACCGUUACUGACGCUGAGGUGCGAAAGCUAGGGGAGCAAACGGG